rnacentral:rRNA from 1 species
GAUGAACGCUAGCGGCAGGCCUAAUACAUGCAAGUCGAACGGUAAGGCCCUUUCGGGGGUACACGAGUGGCGGACGGGUGCGUAACGCGUAUGCAACUUACCCUGUAGAGGGGGAUAGCCUGGAGAAAUUCAGAUUAAUACCCCAUAGUAUUACGGAAUCGCAUGGUUUUGUAAUUAAAACUUCGGUGCUACAGGAUGGGCAUGCGUGACAUUAGCUAGUUGGUGAGGUAACGGCUCACCAAGGCUACGAUGUCUAGCUGGUCUGAGAGGAUGAUCAGCCACACUGGGACUGAGACACGGCCCAGACUCCUACGGGAGGCAGCAGUAGGGAAUAUUGGACAAUGGGCGAAAGCCUGAUCCAGCCAUGCCGCGUGAAGGAAGAAGGUUCUCUGAAUUGUAAACUUCUUUUAGCAGGGGAUAAACCAGGGCUAUACGCCUUGUUGAAGGUACCUGCAGAAUAAGCACCGGCUAACUCCG